CCAUGUGGGAGGUUAGCAAUUCUACACGGUGGUUCUUCUCCCUCUCCUUCUCCAGUUGACAGACUAUGAGAGAGGUCGGCCCUGUGUCGUGGAUUCCAGCCCCUCUUCUUCUCUCCUUCGCCGGCGUUGCCAACUGGAGUGGGAGAGGAUGGGGGCGUGUUUGUGCGUAGCUAUUGGUUUGCUUUUUUCUUUUCUCCUCCUUGGCCAAUAAAUCUGAUCUGGAUCCAGAUCCACCCCUUUCUUUGAUCCAUUUCUUCUCCCUCGAGUCCCUAUUGAGGGCAGCGAGGUUGAAGAUUCAUUCAUGGAUGGCGGUGGCUUCUAUGCCGAGGCUUCGCCAGAUCCACGGUGCUGGACUGCUUCAGCAGCUGGUGCUCCCUUCCCCAACCUCCUUUUUCUUUCUUGUAGGCGGUGCUUCUUCCUGGUGCUUGCAAGCGGCGCUGGGAGAGGUCCGGGUCCAUUCGUCGGUGACUCCUCGUGGUGGAGAGGAAUGUCGGGAGGUGGAUCUGGAGGCCCCACCUUGAAAAAAGCCUGUUGGAUCCCCAAAUCUGGCGCCUGGUUGGUCUCCUUCUUGUUUCUGGUUCUGCUGCCAUGGAGCUAUGCUUCCUCUACAUGAUGAUAAGUUGCAGUAUCUUAUGGUCGAAUGGCGACCAAUCGGAGUUCUGGUGAUGGCUGGCUCCUUUCUUUCCUCCCGGCUGUUGUGCCAAAAGGGAGGCAGUUAUGUUGCUUCAACCUGGCGAUUCAAGACUCUACCUCCAGCGGCUCGUCGGUGGUGCUCUAGCCAUCCCUCUGCCCUGGUUUCGUCCCCGGCGGCAGCGGGAUUGGGCCAGAGCUGAAGCUUGCGACGAGGACUCGAUUGCAUUUUAGCUUCGUCUUCUGGGAUCAUGUUUGCAAAGUGUGUGGACCGGGUUGUAACUUUUAUUUUCUAAUGGGUCCAUCUGUAAAAUGUACUUGGUUGUCUGUCUAAUACAUGCAUGGGUCCAUCA